CACUUUGAACCGAACUCGCUGUCAAGAUUCAAACAACUAUCUCUCUCCUUUUAUUUUAUCAACCACGUUGUCGGAUACGCCGUAGCGCUACACCUUCAUCGUAGAUUUUUAGCUCAAGAAUAUAGAGUUUGGAGCUUUGAUCGGAAGUUUCAGCGACAGACAGAUCAAUGGCACCACCUCCCGGCGACAAAAAGGCGUCUAAAGUAAACCAGGAGUCGACGCCUAAACGCUCCAUCUCCAGUGUUCUCUUUGUUAUCGCCAUGCAAACGGAGGCAUUACCUCUGGUGGACAAGUUUCAGCUCGCUGAACAAUCUGAUUCUCUGUUCCCAGAGGGGGUUCCAUGGAUGAGGUACAGUGGUAAAUAUAAGGAUUUGAACAUCAACAUUCUCUGUCCUGGAAAAGACAAAAAGUUCGGGGUUGACAGCGUAGGAACAGUUUCUGCAUCUCUUCUGACUUAUGCUUCUGUUCAAGCAUUACAGCCAGACCUUAUCAUAAAUGCAGGAACUGCUGGAGGAUUCAAGGCAAAAGGUGCUUCCAUAGGUGACGUAUAUCUAGUGUCAGAUGUUGCUUUCCAUGAUAGAAGAAUUCCUGUUCCUGUGCUUGACCUGUAUGGUGUCGGGGCACGUCAGGCAUUCCCCACACCAAAUCUUGUAAAGGAGCUGAAAUUAAAGGUUGGCAAAUUGUCCACUGGCGAUUCUUUAGAUAUGACACCACAGGAUGCAGCGAUGAUACUUGCAAAUAGUGCGACUGUUAAAGACAUGGAGGGAGCAGCAGUUGCUUAUGCGGCUGACCUUCUGAAAGUACCUGUAAUAUUUUUAAAAGCUGUGACCGACAUUGUAGACGGCGACAAGCCAACAGCUGAGGAAUUUUUGCAAAAUUUAGCUGCAGUUGUUGCUGCCCUUGAUAAAGCAGUGACAAAAGUUGUUGAUUUCAUCAAUGGGAAGACUUUCUCAGAACUCUGAUUGUUCUCAAUGUGAGCAUGUCAUAGGAAGAUAAUAACGAGUAUAAUUAAUCUACAAGUUACUCAAUGGUUAGGUUAUCUUGUACAGCCAGGUGAUGUGAAGGACACUAUUCAUUAUAUGUGCACCUUUUGCCAUUUUGAACCAUCCAUGUCAAAGUCAAUUGUAAGUCACCUGUGUUCCACUAUGUUUCUAUUCCAUCACUUGGACAUUUGCAAAAUGAAGAUAAUGUAUGCACUUCUCAAUAGGCUGGAAAGAAGCUGGAGCUUCCGCCGGACAAAAACGUGAAUGCUAGUACGAGGCAUUGGCUGAUCAUGGGAAUGCUAUGCAUUUGUACUGGAGUGCAUGUCACAAGAGGCAAAGAAUUUGAAAAAUGAUGAAGAGGGAAAAGUGAGUAAGAACUGUGAGAAAAAAUAAAGUCAUUUUAAUGUCAUGUUAAUUUUAUGUUUUCUUUUUAAGGAGGUAAAAGAAAAGAAGGCUUGCUGGUGCUUUUGCCUCAUAACCAAGAAUCUAUUUUCAUUAUCUUACUGUUCUGAUACUUCAGAAAAUGCUCUGUUUCAGCUGAUCUUUAAA